AACGAACGCUGGCGGCAGGCUUAACACAUGCAAGUCGAACGGUCUCUUCGGAGGCAGUGGCAGACGGGUGAGUAACGCGUGGGAAUCUACCCAGAUCUACGGAACAACAGUUGGAAACGACUGCUAGUACCGUAUACGCCCUACGGGGGAAAGAUUUAUCGGAUUUGGAUGAGCCCGCGUAAGAUUAGCUAGUUGGUGAGGUAAUGGCUCACCAAGGCGACGAUCUUUAGCUGGUCUGAGAGGAUGAUCAGCCACACUGGGACUGAGACACGGCCCAG
rnacentral:rRNA from 1 species